ACGCUGCUCUGCUGAUGUGCUGUGCUGUGCCUCGAUGCCCUCCCUCCUUCCGGCAGCUGCUGGAUGCAUUUAUGGUCCUGCCCACUGCCUGCCUCCAUGAUCUCAGGCACAUGGCUGGGUCACCUGGUGUGAAGCCUGCCUCCGUCCCUGCAAACCUAUGGAAGCUGGAAAGCCUCGCUGUUCUCCAGAACUGAGAGGCCCCACGACGCCUGUCCAUGGCCAUACUGCUGUGUCCACCCCAACGCUCUCCCUGGCAGCCUGUGGCCCUGAGUCUUUCUCCCAACAAAGCUCAUGUGAAGGGGACUUUGGUGUGAGUUCCUUUCGAACCACACCUUAGCCCAGGCUGUGUGGGCCACCCUUGGGAUAUGCGUACCCGGCGGAGAGAUCCGGAAAGUUACUAUGAGGUGCUGAGGGUUUUGUGGCAGCAACAGCACCCCAGCCUGGAACUUACUGUGUGGCCCACCGUGACUCUCCUCCAUCAGCUGCAGUGGCAGACACGCCACCACAAAGACCUCUCCUAGGAAACCGUGUGAGCCACCUUCGUUCGGUGAGAGGGUCCUCUGGGAUCUGACCCCCAAGUCCCGACACUUCCUCCCAAUGCUCCCAACCAGCCAUGACGUUUUUUUUUUUCCAUUGCAGCCCCCUUAGACCAACUAUCAUCUUUCGUUUAUCUGUUCAUUACAACUUCUAAAAAUCUUAUUGAGUUCUCACCAGUGAACACAUUCCCUUGAAGACCAUCUCAAAGGCCUCACCAGCAUUAAAUUACACCAAGUCUCA